AUGUUCAAUAUCCAGAAUACUGUAAACAUCCAUAAAUUAUCUGUCUUAUCAAAAAAAAUGCAUCAUCAUAUGUUAAUGGGUGAAACACUUUUAUUCAGCAUUAAUUUCAUGUCUUGUCUUCUAUUUCUCUUUUCAUAAUCACAUGAUCUUUAACCUUUUUCUUUCUGACUUUGGACUAACCAAGUCUAUAUCUCAGUCUCCAUUCGAACAAUUUUUCACUCAUAAGCCUUUCAAAGCUGUCCCAGGCAUGAGCUCCUGACCGGCUGUCCCACGUACGAAAGUCUGUGAGGGGCUGUCCCAGGCAUAAGCUCCUGACGGGCUGUCUCAGGUAUGAGCUUCUGACCGACUGAUUUAUGUAUAAGCCCGUGAGGGUUGUCUCAAGCAUAAGCUCUUGGCGGACUGUCCCAGGCAUAAGCUCCUGGUGGACUAUUUCAUAUGACGAGGCUAGUUUAAACUAUAUCUUUUUCAUUUAAUUAUUACACGUUGAUUUUAUCAAAUCAAUUUCAAUUUAUAAUGUAAUUAAAUUAAAUAUGUCAUAUC
rnacentral:lncRNA from 1 species